rnacentral:rRNA from 1 species
AGAACGAACGCUGGCGGCAUGCCUAAUACAUGCAAGUCGAACGAACUCUUCGGAGUUAGUGGCGCACGGGUGCGUAACGCGUGGGAAUCUGCCCUUGGGUUCGGAAUAACAGUUGGAAACGACUGCUAAUACCGGAUGAUGACGAAAGUCCAAAGAUUUAUCGCCCAGGGAUGAGCCCGCGUAGGAUUAGCUAGUUGGUGAGGUAAAGGCUCACCAAGGCGACGAUCCUUAGCUGGUCUGAGAGGAUGAUCAGCCACACUGGGACUGAGACACGGCCCAGACUCCUACGGGAGGCAGCAGUAGGGAAUAUUGGACAAUGGGCGAAAGCCUGAUCAGCAAUGCCGCGUGAGUGAUGAAGCCUUAGGUGUAAGCUCUUUACCGAGAUGAUAAUGACAGUAUAGGAGAAUAACGCCCGGCUAACUCCGCGCCACGACGACGCCGC